rnacentral:rRNA from 1 species
UACGUAGGGUGCGAGCGUUAAUCGGAAUUACUGGGCGUAAAGAGUGCGUAGGCGGUCUGUCGCGUCUGCUGUGAAAACUCAGGGCUUAACCCUGAGCUUGCAGUGGGUACGGGCAGACUAGAGUGCGGUAGGGGAGACUGGAAUUCCUGGUGUAGCGGUGAAAUGCGCAGAUAUCAGGAGGAACACCGGUGGCGAAGGCGGGUCUCUGGGCCGUAACUGACGCUGAGGAGCGAAAGCAUGGGGAGCGAACAGG